rnacentral:RNase_P_RNA from 1 species
GUGGACGGCCGGACGGCCGCGGGGGUCGCGAGACCCGCGAGGAAAGUCCGGACUCCAGGGAGAAAUGGCGGCGGGUAACGCCCGCCCGGGGUGACCCGAGGGAAAGCGCCACAGAGAUCAGACCGCCUGCCUUCGUCUUCGGACUUGGGCAGGCAAGGGUGAAACGGUGGGGUAAGAGCCCACCGCGCCGGCGGCGACGUCGGCGGCACGGCAAGCCCCGCCAGGAGCAAGGCCAAAUAGGGGUCGCGCGGACCGCAAGGUCCAGGGGUCUCCCCCCGAGCGAUCCGGGUUGGCUGCUGGAGCCCGUCCGCAAGGGCGGGCCUAGAGGAAUGGUCGUCGUCGCCCCGGCAACGGGGCGUCACAAAAUCCGGCUUACAGGCCGUCCACGCAC